UCUGUUCUUUACGAAUCUUUUGUCUCUGCUCAUUGGGACCGGUCUAGGCGUUUUGCUCACUAGGCGGGGCUUGAUGAUGUCCCGCGUCGCCAUUGAGUGAAGAACAUGAUUCCGGGGUGUGUCAGCAUCAGAAUUUGAUCACGGUUGAAUCUGGCGAGGAGGGGAAGGCUGGAGAUGCAAGAAAGACUGAACAAGCCGGUGGGCGAUCGAGCCUAAAAACAGUUACACGCAGCACAUAAUUCGAUUGUCCCGAUUUAUUAUAUUAGCACUUUGUAUUAUAUAUUAGCACUUUUACUUCCCCAAUCCCUUUUAACUGUACGGUGUACUUCUAAAAAAAUUUCGUAUAUCAAGUAUAAGUAAUGCGCAUUAUAUGCUUAGGAAAAGGAAAAGGCUAAGAAAAAUAAAGAAAAAUAAGCAAAAAAAAAAGAUGGAGAAAAGAAACUAUCGUAUAUAGUUACAGAGAGUUGUUGAAAGAAACAGGAAAAUGAACGAAACGAAUGUCCAUUUUAUACCGUUUCUAAUGCGUUUCUAUCCGCGAUAGUUUGUAGGCAUAGCUUGAAUAGUAUUUAUCUGAAACUAAUUAUAUAUAUUGUUAGAACGGAAAGAAAGAAGAGAGACU